rnacentral:rRNA from 1 species
UACAGAGACUGCGAGCGUUAUUCGGAUUCACUGGGCGUAAAGGGUGCGCAGGCGGCCGUGUGUGUGAGGCGUGAAAGCCUGGAGCUUAACUCCAGAAUUGCACCUCAAACUACAUGGCUAGAGCAUUGGAGAGGGUAGCGGAAUUCACGGUGUAGCAGUGAAAUGCGUAGAUAUCGGGAGGAACACCAGUGGCGAAGGCGACUUCCUGGCCUGUUCUUGACGCUGAGGCGCGAAAGCUAGGGGAGCAAACGGG